rnacentral:snRNA from 1 species
GUGCUCACUUGGGCAGGAUGGGUACUAAAAUUGUAAUGAUACAGAGAAGGUUAGCAUGGUCCAUGGGAAAGGAUGGCACAAAUUCGUGAAACAUUCCAUAUUUUA